rnacentral:rRNA from 1 species
AACGAACGCUGGCGGCAGGCCUAAUACAUGCAAGUCGAGCGCGCCCUUCGGGGUGAGCGGCGGACGGGUGAGUAACGCGUGGGAAUAUGCCCUUCUCUAAGGAAUAGCCUCUGGAAACGGAGAGUAAUACCUUAUACGCCCUUUGGGGGAAAGAUUUAUCGGAGAAGGAUUAGCCCGCGUUAGAUUAGGUAGUUGGUGGGGUAAUGGCCUACCAAGCCUACGAUCUAUAGCUGGUUUAAGAGGAUGAUCAGCCACACUGGGACUGAGACACGGCCCAGACUCCUACGGGAGGCAGCAGUAGGGAAUCUUAGACAAUGGGGGCAACCCUGAUCUAGCCAUGCCGCGUGUGUGAUGAAGGCCCUAGGGUCGUAAAGCACUUUCGCCAGAGAUGAUAAUGACAGUAUCUGGUAAAGAAACCCCGGCUAACUCCGUGCCAGCAGCCGCGGUAAUACGGAGGGGGUUAGCGUUGUUCGGAAUUACUGGGCGUAAAGCGCACGUAGGCGGAUUAGUAAGUUAGAGGUGAAAUCCCAGGGCUCAACCCUGGAACUGCCUUUAAUACUGCUAGUCUUGAGUUCGAGAGAGGUAAGUGGAAUUCCGAGUGUAGAGGUGAAAUUCGUA